CAGAUGGAUGUCUGUGGCUGUUUUUGCAGAAUCUUUCUGCACAAUUGCUACAUUUGUAAGAAAACGUGUCAAGUUUAAAAGUAGAUCAACUAAAGUAAAAUUCAGUGGACGACAGAAAGUCAGACAGUUUUGAACAGUUUUGGAGUCACAUGAAGAGACUAUGAGAUUAACUCUUUUGGAUUGCAAGAAACCAUUCAGAACCCUGGCAUCAUUUCGGCCACUUAUUCAUGGAACGUCUCCUCCACACCACCAUCGCUGCCAGACAGCAGACUGACAGCGGGUAGUUAGAAAGCGAGAAAGAAAGUGAAAGAGGACUGCUUCGCUGCUCCAUCGUCUUAACUCCACAACAUCCAUCCAGAUGGCACAUGAGAGACGGAUACAGCAGGAUGGUGACAGGAACACGGGAAGCUGUUGUUCUCUCUCACUCUCACAAACACACGACCCCACCGCAGAGGCCCGUUUGAUUCAAGUACACGCGCUACACAUGAAAGCACUUGGCGGGACGUCCCGCAGCAUAGGCGGGGAGCGUAAAAAGCCGAGACACGUCGCCCGUGUUGUGAAAUCACACACCUUUCAAGCAUCAAAGACAGGCGAUAUGUAAAAUAUUUGCUAUGGUUGUUGUCCUCAAGACGAAGGUAUCAGGCAGACAGCAGGUGAAGAGAGAAGCUGAUGACAUACCGCAAGGUUGCACGGCAGAGGGGCUUUGGUGCCAAAAUGGCUUUUGGUGUUGCGGGUUUUGUAUUCGUAUUUGUGUGCACUGUGACAAACAGCAGACGAAACCCACCUAACGAAGACAGAGGUGUUCAGAGAGGUGUUCGCAAACAAGCCAACGAGCUGAUAUUACAAAGU